rnacentral:rRNA from 1 species
AUGCAACGCGAAGAACUUACCUGGUCUUGACAUCCGGAGACCUUAGGAACUAGGGGUGCUUCCAUCUGGAAGAAUCUGGAGACAGGUGCUGCAUGGCUGUCGUCAGCUCGUGUCGUGAGAUGUUGGGUUAAGUCCCGCAACGAGCGCAACCCUUGCCUUUAGUUGCCAGCAGUUCGGCUGGGCACUCUAAAGGGACUGCCGGUGUUAAACCGGAGGAAGGUGGGGAUGACGUCAAGUCCUCAUGGCCUUUAUGACCAGGGCUACACACGUACUACAAUGGCCGAUACAAAGGGCAGCGACACUGCGAGGUGAAGCCAAUCCCGUAAAAUCGGUCUCAGUCCGGAUUGGAGUCUGCAACUCGACUCCAUGAAGUUGGAAUCGCUAGUAAUCGUGGAUCAGCAUGCCACGGUGAAUACGUUCCCGGGCCUU